rnacentral:tRNA from 1 species
CGGGGCGUGGCUCAGUUUGGUUUAGAGCGCCUGCUUUGGGAGCAGGAGGUCGGUGGUUCAAAUCCACUCGCCCCGACCA